rnacentral:misc_RNA from 1 species
AAGUCGUAACAAGGUUUCCGUAGGCGAACCUGCGGAAGGAUCAUUACAACAAGGUUCCCUGGCCCUCGAAGCUUCGGCGGAGGGGCGCUACAGCCUGACUUUAUACCCACCCUUUGCCUAUGUGUACCCCUAUUGCUUCCCUCGGCGGAUUCGCCCGCCGACAGGAACCAACUAAACCCUUUGCAUUAUACAUUUAACACUUCCGAUACAAAACUAAAUUAUUACAACUUUUAACAAUGGAUCUCUUGGUUCUG